GGUGGCUUCGCCGAACAAGGACAGGUGCUGUUUCGAGAAUCGGAGCAGUGAUUGUCAUGAUGAGAAAAUCAGAAAUUUGGUGGAGUCAUCAGAGGAAUUAGAGGAAUAGUAUAAUAUAUUUACGUGAGUGGUACUAAUUAUGGGAUCAGAGCAAUGUCAAUAAUGAUCAGAAAUUUGGAAGUCGUCGAAGGAAUUACGUUAUAGCAUUGGGAUACACAAUGCGAUUCAUGCGUCGUAUCGGGAGUGCCGUGUAAAACUUCACGUGUCGGGAGUGCUACGGUAAACUGUCGGGCGAUCGUAAUUAUUCGUGUUUUCGUGAAUGUCGUGAGUGCUACAAAGGACCAAGAGAGGAGGAGGAGGCCCGUGGAGGCAUCGGGUGACAGCGGGGCAACUGUGAGAUCAAUGUGCUGAGUACUACAACUGCUGAGCACUACAACUUCGCUAUUGCUCGUAUCGAAAAUCCAAGGAGAAACACCCUGCCGAUUUCGCCGAUUAUGGACACACGCAAUCUCUUUUCGCAGUGCGAAGUAGAUGUCGGAUCCGUGAUAAAAUCUGUGACGAGUCGGGAGCGCCGAAUUUAAUAGCGACGAACGAACGUUUCGAUCUACCUAUUGGAUUACGCGGUCGGGCAACUCGCGAUUAUUUAAAAUCGACGUUCGUCGCUUCGCGAAUAUAUCUGUGACAAGUCGGGAGUGUCGAAUUUAAUAGCGACGAACGAACGUCUCGAUCUAUGCCUAUUGGAUUACGCGGUCGGGCAACUCGCGAUCAUUUAAACUCGACGUUCGUCGCUUCGCGAAUUCGUGUCAGUUUGAGUGUUCGUCGUACAAUUUGUGAUAUGUGUCGAGGAUAUCUUCCAACAUUGUAGGGUUGAUUGCGAGACGAUGAUGCAUCGGCUGAUGUCGGAUCCGUGAUAAAAUCUGUGACGAGUCGGGAGUGCCGAAUUUAAUAGCGACGAACGAACGUUUCGAUCUACCUAUUGGAUUACGCGGUCGGGCAACUCGCGAUUAUUUAAAAUCGACGUUCGUCGCUUCGCGAAUGUAUCUGUGACAAGUCGGGAGUGUCGAAUUUAAUAGCGACGAACGAACGUCUCGAUCUAUGCCUAUUGGAUUACGCGGUCGGGCAACUCGCGAUCAUUUAAACUCGACGUUCGUCGCUUCGCGAAUUCGUGUCAGUUUGAGUGUUCGUCGUACAAUUUGUGAUAUGUGUCGCGGAUAUCUUCCAACAUUGUAGGGUUGAUUGCGAGACGAUGAUGCAUCAGCUAAUGUCGGAUCUGUGAUAAAAUCUGUGACGAGUCGGGAGUGCCGAAUUUAAUAGCGACGAACGAACGUCUCGAUCUACCUAUUGGAUUACGCGGUCGGGCAACUCGCGAUUAUUUAAAAUCGACGUUUGUCGCUUCGCGAAUGUAUCUAUGACGAGUCGGGAGUGUCGAAUUUAAUAGCGACGAACGAACGUCUCGAUCUAUGCCUAUUGGAUUACGCGGUCGGGCAACUCGCGAUCAUUUAAACUCGACGUUCGUCGCUUCGCGAAUUCGUGUCAGUUUGAGUGUUCGUCGUACAAUUUGUGAUAUGUAUCGCAGAUAUCUUCCAACAUUGUAGGGUAUUGCUAGACGAUGAUACAUCGGCUGAUGUUGGAUCCGUGAUAAAAUCUGUGACGAGUCGGGAGUGCCGAAUUUAAUAGCGACGAACGAACGUCUCGAUCUACCUAUUGGAUUACGCGGUCGGGCAACUCGCGAUUAUUUAAAAUCGACGUUCGUCGCUUCGCGAAUGUAUCUAUGACGAGUCGGGAGUGUCGAAUUUAAUAGCGACGAACGAACGUCUCGAUCUAUGCCUAUUGGAUUACGCGGUCGGGCAACUCGCGAUCAUUUAAACUCGACGUUCGUCGCUUCGCGAAUUCGUGUCAGUUUGAGUGUUCGUCGUACAAUUUGUGAUAUGUAUCGCAGAUAUCUUCCAACAUUGUAGGGUUGAUUGCGAGACGAUGAUGCAUCGGCUGAUGUUGGAUCCGUGAUAAAAUCUGUGACGAAUCGGGAGUGCCGAAUUUAAUAGCGACGAACGAACGUCUCGAUCUACCUAUUGGAUUACGCGGUCGGGCAACUCGCGAUUAUUUAAAAUCGACGUUCGUCGCUUCG